AUUGUCACCUUGUUUGUUGAAAAUUUUGGUGAAAAAAGUCCCAACUUGAUUACCUGAAGUGGUGUCAUUUUUGAGAAAGGCUGAACAACCCUGCCCAAGAAAUUUCCCGUUUCUGGCCUCACUCCGACGUUGCAUACUUUUCAUGGACAGAUGGUCAUUGACUGAUCACAGUAUUUUCUGGGUAUCUUCUGAUGGCUGCUCAACCCCAGAAACAAAAAGGGAAAGUUGCCAAAUCCAUUUGCUCUAUGUGACUCCCCACUUCAGUCACACAGGAAAAGGCCUUGCCUCUAACCUGGGCAGUUGAUGGCUGGGUUUUCUCUUCAUGUGUAUCCUCUAAAACUGAACUGUGGAUUUGAGAGGAAACAAGCUUAAUAUGCCAUGUGCUUCCUAUUUGUUGGAGGCAUCAAUGCUGAAGCUCUGUUGGCAUGCUAAAAUGUGAACAUUUUUACAAUGUAGCAGGUUAUGGAAGCUGCUCUUGAUAAAUUCCAGUAACGGCAUUUUACACUCCAUGUGUUCCUUUCUGUGAAUGACAGAUUGCACUAUUAUGUCUCUAAAGAAGCUCUUGACAAGGGUGAUUCAGGCACAAAGAAAGUGGAACAUGUGUCUAAUUCAGUGUUUCUACAUUCCCUAGCACAUUUACACAGGACUGUGAUCUUGUUCUUUCUGAUACACUAGAGCAAGCAAAAACACUGUUUAUUCUAAGUUAGACACUCCCUAAUAACAUCAGAGCCUCUGCUGAUGUAAACCUAAAAAUAAACCUAUGAGUAUGUUAUCUCUUCUUCA